rnacentral:rRNA from 1 species
GUCUACGGCCAUACCACGUUGAAAACACCGGUUCUCGUCUGUUCACCGAAGUUAAGCAACGUCGGGCCCGGUUAGUACUUGGAUUGGUGACCGCCUGGGAAUACCGGGUGCUGUAGACU